rnacentral:rRNA from 1 species
UACGUAGGGUCCGAGCGUUGUCCGGAAUUACUGGGCGUAAAGAGCUCGUAGGUGGUUUGUCACGUUGUUCGUGAAAACUCACAGCUUAACUGUGGGCGUGCGGGCGAUACGGGCAGACUGGAGUACUGCAGGGGAGACUGGAAUUCCUGGUGUAGCGGUGGAAUGCGCAGAUAUCAGGAGGAACACCGGUGGCGAAGGCGGGUCUCUGGGCAGUAACUGACGCUGAGGAGCGAAAGCGUGGGGAGCGAACAGG